rnacentral:sRNA from 17 species
GUUGUAAAGGCCGAAACAGGACGGAUGAAAAAUGUCGAAGAAUGCGGCAUUGCCAAGAGCCAAAUCAUAACUGACAGCAACAGCGACGAUUUCAUAGCUUUUCCUGCAUUC